UUAGAAUAAGGUUUCUAGGGCCAGAGCGAACGAACCGCUCUGAUACCACUCUGUCACAGCCCACUAUCCCAAUGACGGAUUAACCGGGGUUAUGACUUGGGGUGAACAAUAAGAAAUGGAAAUGGACAAUUACUUAACAUUAAAGUAUAUGGAAAUGUCACUCAUAAAUAAAAAGCUAGGAUCAUAUAUGAUCAUUUGGAUACUUAUAACACAUACACAUAAAGGAGAACUGAUUAAGGUGGGUUACCCAAUAACACGUGUCACAACUUCAUAACAUAGAGUUAUCCUAAUCAAAGUGUUUUGCAGCGGAAAACGUGUGAGAUAUACAUAUGAAGAUGUAUACUCAAGGUUACAUUUCUUGAAAUGUCAAAGGAACACCCGCUCAACA
rnacentral:lncRNA from 1 species